rnacentral:rRNA from 1 species
CCCUUAGAUGUUCUGGGCGGCCCGCGCACUACAUUGGCACUGGCAAAGAGAUCCUAGAUUGAAUUCUUUGGGGUAUUCUUCUAAAUGGUGUCGUGACUGGGAUAAAUCCUUGUAAUUAUUGGUUUUGAACGAGGAAUUCCUUGUAAUCGCGGUUUAUCAGCUCGCGUUGAAUGCGUCCCUGCCCUUUGUACACACCGCCCGUCGCUCCUACCGAUGGAUCGUCCGGUGAAGCUCACGGAGUGACUGUUCACGCAACGGUUUACGAAGUGAAAUGGACCUCACGAUUUAGAGGAAGGAGAAGUCGUAACA